rnacentral:rRNA from 1 species
GCUCAGUAACACGUGGUAACCUGCCCUAGGACGAGAAUAACCCGGGAAACUGGGGCUAAUGCUCGAUAGGUGAAGAACUCUGGAAUGAGUCUUCACUAAAAGAGUCUGCGUUAUGCUCGUAGAUUUCGCUUAAGGAUGGGGCCGCGACCGAUCAGGUUGUUGGUGAGGUAAUGGCUCACCAAGCCUUUUACCGGUGCGGGCCGUGAGAGCGGGAGCCCGGAGAUGGGCACUGAGACAAGGGCCCAGGCCUACGGGGCGCAGCAGUCGCGAAAACUUUGCAAUACACGAAAGUGUGACAGGGCUAUCCCGAGUGCCAUCCGCUGAGGAAGGCUUUUACCCAGUCUAGAAAGCUGGGGGAAUAAGGCGAGGGCAAGUCUGGUGUCAGCCGCCGCGGUAAUACCAGCUCUCCGAGUGGUGUGGAUGUUUAUUGGGCCUAAAGCAUCCGUAGCUGGCUAAGUUAGUCCCCUGUUAAAUCCAACGAAUUAAUCGUUGGAUCGCGGGGGAUACUGCUUGGCUAGGGGACGAGAGAGGCAGACGGUAUUUCCGGGGUAGGGGUGAAAUCCUAUAAUCCCGGGAAGACCACCAGUGGCGAAGGCUGUCUGCUAGAACGCGCCCGACGGUGAGGGAUGAAAGCUGGGGGAGCGAACCGGAUUAGAUACCCGGGUAGUCCCAGCUGUAAACGAUGCAGGCUAGGUGUUUGGACGGCCACGUGCCGUUCUAGUGCCGCAGGGAAGCUGUUAAGCCUGCCGCCUGGGGAGUACGAUCGCAAGAUUGAAACUUAAAGGAAUUGGCGGGGGAGCACCACAAGGGGUGAAGCUUGCGGUUUAAUUGGAGUCAACGCCGGG